ensembl:lncRNA
AGUCACUGUUAUCUAACUGAUUAAGCCAGUUCAUUUACUAUUUAUGAAUGGUCAAGUACAGUUUAAGGAUUUUAAAAAAUGCAUAAAGCUAUGAAAGAUUAUGUAAAAAUAAUGAUAUUGUCUGUCAUGUUACAAAUGUUGAUCACUCUAUUACAAACAUAGACUGUGCAGCAGCUUGGCACAUGCAGUGAUAGGAGAGCAGAUAUUUAUCAUACCAUGUUACUUGAAUUGGAAUUGAGGAAAUUCCCUGCAAUCCGCAAACUGAAGUAAUAUUCAUAGCUAGUUUAGUUAAGCAAACUGAGUCGUUUAGCAUGGAAGUGUCACGAAUACCACCGAAGGUGGCUCCCCUUUCUGCUCGGGUGGCGCUCGGCGGUCCUCGUCGCCGGUCUAUUAGCUGCCACCGAUCCCUUUUUCCUUUUCGUUUGUUUUUGUCUAAUUGUUUUCACCUGUUCCUUGUUGGGGUUUUGGGAUGGGUGUUAUUGAAGUUCGUUUUGCCCGCUGGUGUUUGUGCGGGCUUGUUGGUUUGGUGAUGUAUCGUGUUUGUUUUGAGUUUUCGUUGUCCAGUGUUUUGUAACUAGGUUUUGGGUUUGUUUAGCGCCAGUGUUUUAGGGCAUUCACCCAUGUUUGGACCUGUUACGUUUUGAAGGACAUGAAAGCGUUUUUCCCGUUCACUUCGCUCUCUGCAUUUGACUCCUCACUGAUCAUUUACCCGACGUUACAGGAAGUACAAAUAAAUAAUCGUUAUUGUCCCCUUUUGAAGUCCAUUGUCAGUAAUCAAGCAAAUCAGAAAGAUACACUUCUGUAGUUAAUUGGAACCAAGAUUAAAAUCUACAAGGUGCCUAUUCAAGAUCAACCCAGAUAAGGGGUCCAAAGUGGAGAAGUCAAGAAAGCAGCAUGCAAUCAAUCCCAAAAGUUAUUUUUCUGAUCUCAAACAUCGCAGACUAUGAAUGGAGGGAGUAGCCUCGCGCACGCACGCAUACAGUUUCACAACUGAUGCCAGUUAGAUGAAGGGUGUUGCCCAUCUUCUCCAUUACACCCUGUAUUACUGACCUUUGCCUGCCCUGAGCCUGCCGGCCAUCCUGUACCUUUGCCCUACCUAUCUGGAUUACUGACCUCUGCCUGCCCUUGACCUGCAUGCCCCUGUUCGAUUAAUAAACUGUUGUUACUUCGAUGUUGUCUGCAUCUAGGUCUUACCUGAAAAGUAAUAAAUUAUCUGUGUUCUAGCUAUA